UCUGAGUUACUUAAUCAGAAGUCUUCUAUACAAGGAAAAUUUCCUUCAGGGUAUCUUAACAGUAUCUUCGAUUUGAGUGGAAAUUGGCUUCAUGAUGCUACAGACACCAAAACUCUCGCUUUCGAUGGUUACUUUAUUUCGUUGUAUUAUUUACACCUUACAGCAUUUCCACUUGUUCUAAACGACAGAGUUAAGAAGUCUGUUCCACCUCAUUGGGAUCCAGCAGCCUUGUCUAGGUUCAUACAGACAUAUGGAACACACAUAAUAGUCGGCAUGGCUAUCGGUGGUCAAGAUUUAAUAUGUGUCAGGCAAAACUCUUCCUCUACAAUUCCUACAUCCGAGCUUAGAGGGUAUUUGGAGGACCUCGGAGAUGUUAUGUUUUCAGAUGGAAAAGCCCUUCAUUAAUACAGAGAAAGUCAAGAGAUGGCAAACAAAAAGUAUAAGCACCUCAUUUAUAUUUAAGGGCCCUUUCUUCUUUUGUUCGGUAAACACUGAUAUUUUUACUAAAUGUCGUAUAUUUAUGUAGGUGCCCGACAUCUUUAACCGUAUUUUGCAAUCAAGCACCAUGCAGUUGGCCAGCAUUGCAGAAACAUCGAGCGUUCGGCACAUUGAGGGAAGAAGCAGAUGAGUUGUGCCGAACGCUGGAGGAGAAAGAGGACAGUUCAUGUACUGCCUCAGAUCAGUUUUCUUGUAUCACAAUAUAAUGAACCUUGCUAAACAAGUUAUGCGUGCAAUUUAGUUGGAGAGGUUUUUUGUUAGGUCAUGUAAGACUUUUGUUGGUUAAACUAUUAGAAAUUUAAGAGCAAAUUGGGUCCUCUAAUAUAAAAAUGAGCAAUUUAGUCCUUAUAUAAUUCGUUUUGAAGCAAACAAGUAACUUUUGAAUAGUUUUAAUAUUUUUCUUAUCUAAAUGCUCGUGGAAAAAAUUGAAAAUAAACAUGU